rnacentral:rRNA from 1 species
GACGAACGCUGGCGGCGUGCUUAACACAUGCCAGUCGAACGGAAAGGCACUGCUUUUGUGGGGUGCUCGAGUGGCGAACGGGUGAGUAACACGUGAGUAACCUGCCCUUGACUUUGGGAUAACUUCAGGAAACUGGGGCUAAUACCGGAUAGGAGCUCCUGCUGCAUGGUGGGGGUUGGAAAGUUUCGGCGGUUGGGGAUGGACUCGCGGCUUAUCAGCUUGUUGGUGGGGUAGUGGCUUACCAAGGCUUUGACGGGUAGCCGGCCUGAGAGGGUGACCGGCCACAAUGGGACUGAGAUACGGACCAGACUCCUACGGGAGGCAGCAGUGGGGAAUAUUGCACAAUGGGCGGAAGCCUGAUGCAGCAACGCCGCGUGCGGGAUGACGGCCUUCGGGUUGUAAACCGCUUUCGCCUGUGACGAAGCGUGAGUGACGGUAAUGGGUAAAGAAGCACCGGCUAACUACGUG